rnacentral:rRNA from 1 species
GACGAACGCUGGCGGCGCGCCUAACACAUGCAAGUCGAGCGAUGAAAUUUUAACCGCUCUCUUCGGAGAGAAGAUAAAAUGGAUUAGCGGCGGACGGGUGAGUAACACGUGAGAAACCUGCCUUUCACAAGGGGAUAGCCUCGGGAAACCGGGAUUAAUACCCUAUGACACAUUUCCUUCGCAUGGCAGAAAUGUUAUAACUCCGGUGGUGAAAGAUGGUCUCGCGCCUGAUUAGCUAGUUGGUGGGGUAACGGCCCACCAAGGCCAUGAUCAGUAACCGGCCUGAGAGGGUGAACGGUCACAUUGGAACUGAGACACGGUACAAACUCCUACGGGAGGGAGCAGUGGCGAAUAUUGCACAAUGGAGGAAACUCUGAUGCAGCGACGCCGCGUGAGCGAUGAAGGCUUUCGAGUCGUAAAGCUCUGUUCUAUGGGAAGAUAAUGACGGUACCAUAGGAGGAAGCCCCGGCUAACUACGUG